rnacentral:rRNA from 1 species
AGCGAACGCUGGCAGCAGGCUUAACACAUGCAAGUCGAGCGCCCCGCAAGGGGAGCGGCAGACGGGUGAGUAACACGUGGGAACGUGCCUUUUGGUUCGGAACAACCCAGGGAAACUUGGGCUAAUACCGGAUAAGCCCUUACGGGGAAAGAUUUAUCGCCAAAAGAUCGGCCCGCGUCUGAUUAGCUAGUUGGUGGGGUAAUGGCCCACCAAGGCUACGAUCAGUAGCUGGUCUGAGAGGAUGAUCAGCCACAUUGGGACUGAGACACGGCCCAAACUCCUACGGGAGGCAGCAGUGGGGAAUAUUGGACAAUGGGGGCAACCCUGAUCCAGCCAUGCCGCGUGAGUGAUGAAGGCCUUAGGGUUGUAAAGCUCUUUUAGCAGGGAAGAUAAUGACGGUACCUGCAGAAAAAGCCCCGGCUAACUUCGUGCCAGCCGCCGCCGUAACAC